rnacentral:siRNA from 1 species
UAGAUCGAUAUCGGGGAAGAUG